CGUUCAGUUAUCAAAGUUUAGGAGAAAAACAUAACGUAUGAAGCUGAGAAUCUGGACCGAGGCGGAUGAUGAGCUGCCGGGUCUGGAGUGGCUAGACUCAGAUGACGUCACAAGAACCGACUGAGUGAAACUGUUGGAGAAGUGCAGCAAACUAGAGACACAGAGAACCAGUGCAGCAAUUUACAGCAGAAUCAUAACAGGAAACUACAGAUGCCAAGAAUCAGUGCAGCAACUUACAACAGCAUCAGAAUUACUUACAACUUGGAGAAAAAUUCAUACGUGUCACAUCUUCAGUCAUCCAUGUUAAUAUUGUCUGUGGUCUAAGGAAAGAGUCUUCCUUUGUGUACGGGAGGAAGCGAUGGGCCGGUGUUCUUGUACUCAACUGCCUCAAAAUCUCUUCCCUUAAGUGAGGAUAAGAGACUGCCUCCAGCUGUAGUAGUCUUAGUGUUAUGUUGACGCCACUUUCUCCGCCAUUGUUGUCAUGUGUCGUAAGUCAGUCAGACAUCUCUAUUAUGGAGGAUAAUCAACGCUCGAGCUUUUGAGAGCUUAACGGAGGUAUAACAGUCAGGUCCAACCCUCAGACACAGGUACAACAGUCAGGUCCAACCCUCAGACACAGGUACAACAGUCAGGUCCAGCCCUCAGACACAGGUACAACAGUCAGAUCCAACCCUCAGACACAGGUACAACAGUCAGGUCCAACCCUCAGACACAGGUAUAACAGUCAGGUCCAACCCUCAGACACAGGUACAACAGUCAGGUCCAACCCUCAGACACAGGUACAACAGUCAGGUCCAGCCCUCAGACACAGGUACAACAGUCAGAUCCAACCCUCAGACACAGGUACAACAGUCAGGUCCAACCCUCAGACACAGGUACAACAGUCAGGUCCAGCCCUCAGACACAGGUACAACAGUCAGGUCCAACCCUCAGAGACAGGUACAACAGUCAGGUCCGACCCUCAGACACAGGUACAACAGUCAGGUCCGACCCUCUCAUACAGCUGUUUUCCUCCUGCCGUCUAUUGUAUUAUUCAUCAUCCUCCUCCUCCACUUCCCUGCCUCUUCCAUCUCCUUCCUCAUCUGGUUAACUCUUUCUCUUUCCU